GGUUAAGCGACUAAGCGUACACGGUGGAUGCCCUGGCAGUCAGAGGCGAUGAAGGACGUGCUAAUCUGCGAUAAGCGUCGGUAAGGUGAUAUGAACCGUUAUAACCGGCGAUUUCCGAAUGGGGAAACCCAGUGUGUUUCGACACACUAUCAUUAACUGAAUCCAUAGGUUAAUGAGGCGAACCGGGGGAACUGAAACAUCUAAGUACCCCGAGGAAAAGAAAUCAACCGAGAUUCCCCCAGUAGCGGCGAGCGAACGGGGAGCAGCCCAGAGCCUGAAUCAGUGUGUGUGUUAGUGGAAGCGUCUGGAAAGGCGCGCGAUACAGGGUGACAGCCCCGUACACAAAAAUGCACAUGCUGUGAGCUCGAUGAGUAGGGCGGGACACGUGGUAUCCUGUCUGAAUAUGGGGGGACCAUCCUCCAAGGCUAAAUACUCCUGACUGACCGAUAGUGAACCAGUACCGUGAGGGAAAGGCGAAAAGAACCCCGGCGAGGGGAGUGAAAAAGAACCUGAAACCGUGUACGUACAAGCAGUGGGAGCACGCUUAGGCGUGUGACUGCGUACCUUUUGUAUAAUGGGUCAGCGACUUAUAUUCUGUAGCAAGGUUAACCGAAUAGGGGAGCCGAAGGGAAACCGAGUCUUAACUGGGCGUUAAGUUGCAGGGUAUAGACCCGAAACCCGGUGAUCUAGCCAUGGGCAGGUUGAAGGUUGGGUAACACUAACUGGAGGACCGAACCGACUAAUGUUGAAAAAUUAGCGGAUGACUUGUGGCUGGGGUGAAAGGCCAAUCAAACCGGGAGAUAGCUGGUUCUCCCCGAAAGCUAUUUAGGUAGCGCCUCGUGAAUUCAUCUCCGGGGGUAGAGCACUGUUUCGGCAAGGGGGUCAUCCCGACUUACCAACCCGAUGCAAACUGCGAAUACCGGAGAAUGUUAUCACGGGAGACACACGGCGGGUGCUAACGUCCGUCGUGAAGAGGGAAACAACCCAGACCGCCAGCUAAGGUCCCAAAGUCAUGGUUAAGUGGGAAACGAUGUGGGAAGGCCCAGACAGCCAGGAUGUUGGCUUAGAAGCAGCCAUCAUUUAAAGAAAGCGUAAUAGCUCACUGGUCGAGUCGGCCUGCGCGGAAGAUGUAACGGGGCUAAACCAUGCACCGAAGCUGCGGCAGCGACACUAUGUGUUGUUGGGUAGGGGAGCGUUCUGUAAGCCUGUGAAGGUGUGCUGUGAGGCAUGCUGGAGGUAUCAGAAGUGCGAAUGCUGACAUAAGUAACGAUAAAGCGGGUGAAAAGCCCGCUCGCCGGAAGACCAAGGGUUCCUGUCCAACGUUAAUCGGGGCAGGGUGAGUCGACCCCUAAGGCGAGGCCGAAAGGCGUAGUCGAUGGGAAACAGGUUAAUAUUCCUGUACUUGGUGUUACUGCGAAGGGGGGACGGAGAAGGCUAUGUUGGCCGGGCGACGGUUGUCCCGGUUUAAGCGUGUAGGCUGGUUUUCCAGGCAAAUCCGGAAAAUCAAGGCUGAGGCGUGAUGACGAGGCACUACGGUGCUGAAGCAACAAAUGCCCUGCUUCCAGGAAAAGCCUCUAAGCAUCAGGUAACAUCAAAUCGUACCCCAAAACCGACACAGGUGGUCAGGUAGAGAAUACCAAGGCGCUUGAGAGAACUCGGGUGAAGGAACUAGGCAAAAUGGUGCCGUAACUUCGGGAGAAGGCACGCUGAUAUGUAGGUGAAGCGACUUGCUCGUGGAGCUGAAAUCAGUCGAAGAUACCAGCUGGCUGCAACUGUUUAUUAAAAACACAGCACUGUGCAAACACGAAAGUGGACGUAUACGGUGUGACGCCUGCCCGGUGCCGGAAGGUUAAUUGAUGGGGUCAGCGCAAGCGAAGCUCUUGAUCGAAGCCCCGGUAAACGGCGGCCGUAACUAUAACGGUCCUAAGGUAGCGAAAUUCCUUGUCGGGUAAGUUCCGACCUGCACGAAUGGCGUAAUGAUGGCCAGGCUGUCUCCACCCGAGACUCAGUGAAAUUGAACUCGCCAGAAGAUGCAGUGUACCCGCGGCAAGACGGAAAGACCCCGUGAACCUUUACUAUAGCUUGACACUGAACAUUGAGCCUUGAUGUGUAGGAUAGGUGGGAGGCUUUGAAGUGUGGACGCCAGUCUGCAUGGAGCCGACCUUGAAAUACCACCCUUUAAUGUUUGAUGUUCUAACGUUGACCCGUAAUCCGGGUUGCGGACAGUGUCUGGUGGGUAGUUUGACUGGGGCGGUCUCCUCCUAAAGAGUAACGGAGGAGCACGAAGGUUGGCUAAUCCUGGUCGGACAUCAGGAGGUUAGUGCAAUGGCAUAAGCCAGCUUGACUGCGAGCGUGACGGCGCGAGCAGGUGCGAAAGCAGGUCAUAGUGAUCCGGUGGUUCUGAAUGGAAGGGCCAUCGCUCAACGGAUAAAAGGUACUCCGGGGAUAACAGGCUGAUACCGCCCAAGAGUUCAUAUCGACGGCGGUGUUUGGCACCUCGAUGUCGGCUCAUCACAUCCUGGGGCUGAAGUAGGUCCCAAGGGUAUGGCUGUUCGCCAUUUAAAGUGGUACGCGAGCUGGGUUUAGAACGUCGUGAGACAGUUCGGCCCCUAUCUGCCGUGGGCGCUGGAGAACUGAGGGGGGCUGCUCCUAGUACGAGAGGACCGGAGUGGACGCAUCACUGGUGUUCGGGUUGUCAUGCCAAUGGCACUGCCCGGUAGCUAAAUGCGGAAGAGAUAAGUGCUGAAAGCAUCUAAGCACGAAACUUGCCCCGAGAUGAGUUCUCCCUGACUCCUUGAGAGUCCUGAAGGAACGUUGAAGACGACGACGUUGAUAGGCCGGGUGUGUAAGCGCAGCGAUGCGUUGAGCUAACCGGUACUAAUGAACCGUGAGGCUUAACCUU
rnacentral:rRNA from 1 species